AGGAUAAACGCUGGCGGCGUGCCUAACACAUGCAAGUCGAACGCGCUUUCGGGCUUCGGUGCGAGAGCGAGUGGCGGACGGGUGAGUAACACAUGGGUACCUACCUUGGAGUGAGGGAUACCGGCGAGAAAUCGCCGACAAUACCGCAUAGGCUUCUUCACAAGGGAAGCAAAGUGACGCGAGUCACGCUGUGAGAUGGGCCUGUGGCCGAUUAGCUAGUUGGGGGGUAACGGCUUCCCAAGGCGACGAUCGGUAGCUGGUCUGAGAGGACGAUCAGCCACACUGGGAUUGAGAACGGCCCAGACUCCUACGGGGGCAGCAGUGAGGAAUUUUCCGCAAUGGAGGCAACUCUGACGGAGCAACGCCGCGUGCAGGAGGAAGGUUUUCGGAUCGUAAACUGCUUUUCUCGGGGACGAGCAAGGACGGUACCCGAGGAAGAAGCCCGGCUAACUACGCGCCAGCAGCCGC
rnacentral:rRNA from 1 species